rnacentral:rRNA from 1 species
UACGGGGGGGGCAAGCGUUGUUCGGAAUUAUUGGGCGUAAAGAGCUCGUAGGCGGUUUGUCGCGUCUGCCGUGAAAGUCCGGGGCUCAACUCCGGAUCUGCGGUGGGUACGGGCAGACUAGAGUGAUGUAGGGGAGACUGGAAUUCCUGGUGUAGCGGUGGAAUGCGCAGAUAUCAGGAGGAACACCGGUGGCGAAGGCGGGUCUCUGGGCAGUAACUGACGCUGAGGAGCGAAAGCGUGGGGAGCGAACAGG